CGUGUAGGUGGCUAAUUAAGUCAGGUGUGAAAUCCUUCCGCUUAACGGGAGAAGUGCACUUGAAACUGCUUAGCUAGAGUACGGGAGAGGAAGGUGGAAUUCCUGGUGUAGAGGUGAAAUUCAUAGAUAUCGGGAAGAACACCGGUGGCGAAGGCGGCCUUCUGGCCCGAUACUGACGCUGAGACGCGAAAGCGUGGGGAGCAAACAGGGUUAGAUACCCUGGUAGUCCACGCCGUAAACGUUGGGCACUAGGUGUGGGAGGUUUUUAUUCCUUCUUUGCCGAAGCUAACGCAUUAAGUGCCCCGCCUGGGGAGUACGGUCGCAAGGCUAAA
rnacentral:rRNA from 1 species